rnacentral:rRNA from 1 species
UACGGGGGGGGCAAGCGUUGUUCGGAAUUACUGGGCGUAAAGGGCUCGUAGGUGGCCAACUAAGUCAGACGUGAAAUCCCUCGGCUUAACCGGGGAACUGCGUCUGAUACUGGAUGGCUUGAGUUUGGGAGAGGGACGCGGAAUUCCAGGUGUAGCGGUGAAAUGCGUAGAUAUCUGGAGGAACACCGGUGGCGAAGGCGGCGUCCUGGACCAAUACUGACACUGAAACGCGAAAGCCAGGGGAGCAAACAGGG